rnacentral:lncRNA from 1 species
AACCUUGUCAGGUUUACCCCAUUUAGAGUGGAGAGGGACUCCUGGUCAUUCUACCCGUAGUGUUAUCUCUUAUGUGAAGGCUCGGCGUAUGGUCGAGAAGGGGUGUUUGGCCUAUUUGGCUUUUUUUUAGUGAUUCUAGUGCGAGGGUUCCUUCUAUUGAUUAUGUGCCCGUUGUUCGUGAGUUUCCUGAGGUAUUCCCUUCAGACCUGCCGGGUAUGCCACCCAAUAGGGAUAUUGACUUUUGCAUUGAUUUGGCUCCUGGCACUCAGCCCAUCUCUAUCUCGUCAUAUCGCAUGGUCCCGCCUGAGUUGAAAGAGUUGAAGGAGCAGUUGCAAGACUUGCUUGAGAAGGGUUUCAUUAGACCUAGCGUGUCCCCUUAGGGUGCGCCGAUGUUGUUUGUUAAGAAUAAGGAUGGGUCGAUGAGAAUGUGUAUUGAUUACCGGUAGUUGAACAAGGUUACCAUCAAAAAUAAGUAUCCAUUGCCAAGGAUUGAUGAUUUAUUUGAUCAACUUUAGGGUGCCAAUGUAUUUUCGAAGAUUGACUUGAGAUCUGGCUACCAUUAGUUGAAGAUUAGGGCAUCCGAUGUCCCUAAGACAGCUUUCCGCACUCUGUACGGGCAUUAUGAGUUCUUGGUAAUGUCAUUCGGGUUGACAAAUACCCCAACAGCUUUUAUGGAUUUGAUGAACCGAGUGUUCAAGCCUUAUUUGGACUCGUUCGUGAUAGUCUUCAUUGACAAUAUUUUGAUUUAUUCCCGCAGCUGGGAGGAGCACAAGCAUCACCUCAGAGUGGUUCUUCAAACUCUGAGGGAUAGUCAAUUAUAUGCUAAAUUCUCGAAGUGUGAGUUCUGGUUGAGUUCAGUUGCAUUUCUGGGUCAUGUUUUAUCAACAGAGGUUGUUCAUGUUGAUCCGAAAAAGAUUGAGGCAGUCAAGAACCGGCCUACACCAGCAUUAGCUAUAGAGAUUCAGAGUUUCUUGGGAUUGGCAGGCUACUAUCGUCGGUUCGUGGAGGGGUUUUCAUCUAUCGCAGCCCCGAUGACCAGGUUGACCCAGAAGGGUGCCCAGUUCUAAUGGUCGGACGAGUGUAAGGCGAGAUUUCAGAAGCUUAAGACAGCUCUGACUACGACACAGGUGUGGUUUUGCCCACAGGUUCAGGGCCUUAUACAGUUUAUUGUGAUGCGUCUCAUAUUGGGCUCGGUGCAGUAUUGAUGCAGGAUGGCAAUGUCAUUGCCUAUGCUUCGCGGCAGUUGAAGAUUCAUGAGAAGAACUAUCCGGUUUAUGAUUUAGAGUUGGCAGCCAUUAUUCAUGCGUUGAAAAUUUGGAGGCAUUAUCUGUAUGGCGUGGCAUGUGGGGUGUUCACAGAUCACAAGAGUCUUCAGUAUCUAUUCAAGCAAAAGGAGUUGAAUUUGAGGCAGAGAAGGUGGUUAGAGUUGUUGAAAGAUUAUGAUAUCACUAUCUUAUAUCAUCCGGGAAAGGCCAAUGUGGUGGCCGAUGCUUUGAGUAGGAAGUCAGCCAGUAUGGGCAGUCUUGCUUAUAUUUCGGUCGGUGAGAGACCGCUUGCUCUGGACGUUCAGGCCUUGGCCAAUCAGUUCGUGAGGUUGGAUGUUUCUGAGCCCAGUCAUGUGUUAGCUUGCAUAGUCGCUCGCUCUUCAUUAUUAGAGCAUAUCCGAGAUCGGCAGUAUGAUGAUCCCCAUUUGUGUGUCCUUAGAUACAUGGUGUAGCACGGAGGUGCCAAGCAAGUUACCUUAGGUGAUGAUGGAGUUUUGAGAUUGCAUGGUCGAGUUUAGAUGCCUAAUGUGGAUGGGAUUUGAGAGUUGAUUUUAGAGGAGGCCCAUAGCUCCUAGUACUCUAUUCAUCCGGGCGUCGCGAAGAUAUAUCAGGAUUUGCAGCAGCAUUAUUGGUGGCAGAGAAUGAAGAAGGAUAUCGUUGCAUAUGUGGCUCGUUGUUUGAAUUGUCAGCAGGUUAAGUAUGAGCAUUAGAGGCCUGGUGACUUGUUCCAGAAGAUUGAGAUUCCUGAGUGGAAGUGGGAGCGGAUCACUAUAGACUUCGUUGUUGGACUCCCACGAACUCAGAGGAAGUUCGAUGCAGUGUGGGUUAUUGUUGAUAAGCUGACCAAGUCAGCGCAUUUCAUUCCUGUGGCGGUCUCCUAUUCUUCUGAGAGGUUAGCUGAGAUCUAUAUCCGAGAGAUUGUUCAUCUUCAUGGUGUGCCCGAGUCUAUCAUUUCGGACCGAGGUACGCAGUUUACCUCGCAUUUCUAGAGAGCAGCUCAGCGAGAGUUGGGCAUACGAGUUGAGUUGAGCACAACAUUUCAUCCUCAGACGGACGGGCAGUCCGAGUGGACUAUCCAAAUUUUGGAGGAUAUGCUCCGAGAUUGUGUCAUUGACUUUGGAGGCUCGUGGGAUCAGUUUUUGCCCUUAGAAAAGUUUGCCUAUAACAACAGCUACCAGUCGAGUAUUCAGAUACUUCCGUAUGAGGCUUUAUAUGGUAGACGGUGUCGGUCUCCAGUUGGAUGGUUUGAGCGGGGGUAGGCUCGGUUAUUAGGUACGGAUCUGGUUAAGGAUGCCUUGGACAAGGUCAAGAUCAUUCAGGAUAGGCUUCGUACAGCUCAGUCCAGGCAAGGGAGUUAUGCCGACCGCAAGGUUCGUGAUUUGGCAUCCAUGGUUGGUGAGUGAGUAUUGCUUCGAGUGUCGCCUAUGGAGGGCGUGAUGAGAUUUGGGAAGAAGGGCAAGCUUAGCCCUAGGUUCAUUGGCCCGUUUGAGAUUCUUGAUCGAGUGGGAGAGGUGGCUUAUAGACUUGCGUUGCCGCCGAGCUUAUCAGCCGUGCAUCCAGUGUUUCGUGUGUCCAUGCUCCGAAAGUAUCACGGCGAUCCAUCCCACGUGUUAGAUUUCAGCACUGUCCAGUUGGACAAGGACUUGUCUUAUGAGGAGGAGCCAGUAGAUAUUCUAGACCGACAGGUUCGUCAAAUGAGAUCGAAAAGUUUUCCUUCUGUUUGUGUUCAGUGGAGAGGUCAGCCCGUUGAGGCAUCGACCUGGGAGUCCGAGUCCAAUAUGCAGAGCCGUUAUACCCAUCUUUUUCCUGACUCAGAUACUUCCUUCUUGUGUUCGUUCGAGGAUGAAUGGUUGUUUUAGAGGUGGAGAAUGUGAUGACCUUUUGGGUCAUCACUUGUGUUGCAAGUGAAUUUAGUGUUCCAAGGCCUAAAAACCUCCUCUUUACUCACUUUGUUUUACGUGCAUGGUCCGUAUCUAUAUCCGGAAAGCCUUCUAUGUGAGAAUAUGAGAAAUAGAAAUUUCUAGAGUUAAAAAUUUGAUUAUGGUUGACUUUGGUCAACAUUUUAAGCAAACGGACCUGGAUCCGUGUUCCAAUGAUCCCGGGAGGUCCGUAGUAAAAUAUGGGACUUGGGCGUGUUCCCGGAAUUGAAUUCCGAGGUUCCAAGCUUUAAAAAUCAAUUUUGAAAAAAAAAUUGUUUUACUGAAUUAUCUAAGAAAUGAAGAAAAGAAUUAAUGUGUGAAACCAUUGCUAUCGGGCCCAUAUUUUUGGUUCCGGAGCCCGGUACAAACUUGUUAUAGUAUUUGAAAGAUAACUGUGAGAUUUGGUGAAAACGGAGUUUAUUUAACGUGAGUUGAACUUCCGGUUGAAAAGUUAUGAACCUUGAGAGUUCUUGAUGAAAAUGUUGAGUUUUGAGGUUUAAUUCAUGAUUUUACAUGUUACUUUGAUGAUGUGAUCGCACGAGUAGGUCCAUAUGAUGACUUUGAGUUAGUAUGCACACAUAGUUAGAAGUUCUGAGGGCUCGGGUGAGUUUCAGGUAGGUUUCGGAUGUCUUAGGCUUAAAAACAUAGUUGUUGCAGGUUCAGAGAAGUGGAAGGCCUCUGAACCAACCAGUGCGGUACGCAAAAAGUAGAAUUCUUCCGCGGAGGGGCCUGUACGGCCGCACUGGAUUUCGUGCGGAUCGCGGUGGCAGCCGUGCGGCCGCAGUUGAUUUCGUGAGGUUCGCGGAGAAGAAAAUUUCACUGGUCCGAUUUCGGAAGCCUAUAUCUUUUGAUCUACAAGGAAUUUUGAGAUGAUUUAAAAACUAAAGUUGUAGCCCUUCGUGUCUAGUGUACAGAAAGGUAAAGAUAUUGCAAUUUGGACAUCUGUGGAAAAAGUUAUGGCCAAAAUACUAAAACAUGUCACUGUAGUAAACCUGGUGAGCUGUGUGGCCGUACUCCAUUUUAUGCGGUCCGCACUGGGGGUUUGAGAGGGGUAUAUUAAAACGGGAUUUUCAGUUAUUUCUCAUUUUUCAAAACCCCAAAAAUAUAAGAGGCGAUUUUUCAAACAACUUUUCUUCUCCAAAACAUUGGUAAGUGAUUUCUAACUCAUUUUCCUUACUCCUUAACUUCUUUUUACAAGAUUUCAUCCUAGAAUCAAUGAUUUUCAUGGGGAAAUUGGGUGUUUUUGGUAGAACCUAGGUUUUUUAAAAAUUGGGAAUUUGGUAAAAACAAAUUAUAUAUUUAGAUUCGUGGGGAAAUGGGUAAUCGGGUUUGGUUCGAACUUCGGGUUUUGACCAUGUGGGCCUGGGGCGAUUUUUGACUUUUUGGGUAAAACUUUAGAAAACUCAUUUUCAUACAUUGGGGUUGAUUCAUUUAGCAUUUAUUGAUGUAAUUAAGUAACUUGUGACUAGAUACGAGCGAAUUAGUGGUGGAAUCAAGGGGUAAAUCUAUAGUUGAAUCGUGAAUCGUGUUCGUGGCAUCGAGGUAAGUGUUCGGUCUAAACUUAGCUUGAGGGAUUAGGAGUAAUGUCUUAUUUGCUACAUGUUAAUUGUGGAGUAUGACGUAUAGGCAUGGUGAUGAGUAUUUAUACGUUGGUGUCAAGCAUGCCCGUGAGUUUUGUAUUAUAAUUGUUAUGACUCCGUUAUGGUUUAUUGCGCUUCAUAUGUUAUUAUUAUCAUUGUUCCCUUGCCAGGACAUUGUUGAGAUACCAUUGUUCCCUUUCCGGGAUAUUGUGGAGAUACCAUUGUUCCUUUGCCAGGAUAUUGUUGAGAUAUCAUUAUUCCCUUGCCGGGAUAUUAUUGAGAUAUCAUUGUUCCCUUGUCGGAAUAUUAUUGAGAUAUCAUUGUUCCCUUGUCGGGAUGUUAGUUUGAUAUUAUUGUCCCCUUGUCGGGAUUCCUUGUGAUUAUUGUUGGCCUGUAACUGGGAGCAGGUGGUACGCCUACCACAAGAUAAAUAAAAUGGGUGCGGGUGGUAUGCCUACCACAAGAUAAAUGAAAUGGGAGGGGGUGGUAUGCCUACCGCAAGAUAAUGAAAUGGGAGCGGGUGGUACGCCUACCACAAGAUAAAUAAAUGGGAGCGGGUGGCACGCCUGCCACGAGAUACAUGAAAUGGGAGCGGGUGGCACGCCUUCCACGUGAUACAGGAAAUGGGAUCGGGUUGCACGCCUGCAACAAGAUGUGAAAAGAAAGUGAAAUCUGCCUCUGUUUUCCUUAUUCCUGUUAGCGAUUGAUUUUGAUCACUUUAUAAUUCUCUUGAUAUUCUGUUUUACCUGCUAUUCCCCAAAACAUGUUUUCCCCUCCCAUCUUUACUUGUCUAUUUCUAUAUUACUUUCCCGCUGUAUAUAUUUGAACUGCACAUGUUUAUCUGGAGUUUGGUCCUAGCCUCGUCACUACCUCACCGGGGUUAGGCCAGACACUUACCAGCACAUGGGGUUGGUUGUGCUGAUACUACACUCUGCACUAUGUGCAAAUACCGGAGCAACAUUUGGACAGUAGCACUUGGAGAGCCAGCUUUCAGUCCACAGAGAUCACGAGGUAGUCCUGCAGGCGUCCGCAGGCCCGACGUUCUCUUCUAUCUAUUAUUAUGUUCUGUUAUCACUUGUAUCCGAGACAGGCUGUAUUCCUUUUUCAGACCUUUGUAUGUAGUAUUCAUAGAUAGUCUGUGAAUAUGGUGACACCGGUUCCUGGGUAGAGACGCAUGCUGGCAUUUUCGUAUUUAUUUUGGUAUUACAUUAGUCUAAGUCUUCCGCUUAAUUUCAUCUUCCGCUAUCAUUUAAAUGUUGAUCACCUGUUAAGAUAAGUUGUUAAAAGAAUUAAAAUGAAAGAGUUAAAGAUUUCUAAAUUUCGUGGCUUGCCUAGCUUCUACGAGUAGGCGCCAUCACGACUCCCGAGGGUGAGAAAUUCGAUUCGUGACAUCAAACUCUCUACAAUAUUUAUGCCUCAAACCAAACCAAAUGGAAAUCUAUACGAUUAUGAAACCUCAUCAAUUAUUACUACACAGCGACACCGACCAAAAUGUACCAUGAAACGCCGAUAAACCAACUUAAACCAAUAAUGUAAUACAAUGAACUACAGAACAAUUAAUACUUUCAAUAAAGAAAACAACAUCUAACAAGAGCAAUUAAACAUGGAAGCACCAAUAAGCAUGUAACAGUUAAGACAAGAAAAUAAUAUAUUGGGGACGGGGGGAAAGGAUCAGGCUAAACAGAUAAUUUGGCGGCACAUAGGUACUCGUCACCUCACCUAUACCCCACACAUGUGGGUUUUCACAUAGAAAAUAAGUCGGGGAUCCCUAAUCCCUCAAAUCAAAGUUAGACCAAACAUUUACCUCAAGCUAACGGCCAACUCAAAGCUCAAUUACCGCUUUUCCUCUAGUUUCCACCUCCAAUCGACUCGUAUCUAGUCAUAAUUAACUUAAUAACAUCAAUUAUCUCUAAAGAAAUCAAUUCCAAUGCAUAAUUAUAGAUUUCCCAAUAUUUUCCCAAAAAGUCAAAAAUCGACCCCGGGUCCGCUCGGUUAAAACCCGAAAUUCGGACCAAAACCCGAUUACCCAUUCACCCCGAGCCUAGAUAUACAAUUGGUUUUGGAAUCCGACAUCAAUUUGCGGUCUAAAUCCCCAAAUUUCAAAAUUCCUAAGUUCUACCCAAAAAUCGCUCAAUUCCACCAUGAAAAACCCUAGUAACUAGGAUGAAAUCUUGUAAAAAGAAGUAAAAGAUUGAAAAAAUGAGUUAAGAUUCAUUUACCUGUGAUUUGGGAAAGAAAUGGUCGUUGGAAAAUCGCCUCUUGAGGUUUAGGUUUUGAAAAUGGGAGAAUGAAUGAAAAAUCACGUCCAAAAUCGUUUUUGAAUAGUUGCAUGUAUCGCAUUUACGAUCAGGGAUUCGCAAAUGUGAACUCGCAAAUGCGGACAUUACUUCGCAAAAACGAAGAAUGGCCUGGCCUGCUAGUAUCGCAAAUGCAAACAAAUGUUCGCAAAUGCGGUCUGUUCUUAUCGCAAUUGCGAUCCUGAGCUUCACAAUUGCGAAGGUCCCAUCCCAGCCCUUCUGAUCGCAAAUGCGAACAUCUUUGCAAAUGCGAUGCUUGCAUUUGCGAGCCAUGCGAAGUCUGCAGACCUAAAGCAUACCAACAAAAUUCCUUAAGUCUAAAUCACUCCGUAGCCAAACCAAACAUGCACGCAAGUCUUAAAACAUCAUAUGAACUUGCUUGUGCGAUCAAAUCGAUAAAAUAACAUCCAAAACUAUAGAUUUAACACCAAAACACAUGAAAUUCUUAAGAACCCUUGAAAUUUCUCUUUUCUCAACCGAAUGCCCGAAUCACGUCAAAUAAACUCCGUUUUCACCAAAUUUCACAGACAUGACUUAAAUAUUAUAUUAAACCUGUAUUGGGCUCCGGAACUAAAAUAUGGGCCCGAUACCAACGAGAUCAAAUAUUAAUCAAUUUCUUUAGUUCCAUAUAUUUUCAGUCUUACAAUUUUCAUCAAAAAUUUAUUUCUUGGGCUUGGGACUUCGGAAUUCGAUUUCGGGCAUACGCCCAGGUCCAAUAUUUUACUACGGUCCUACCGGGACCGUCAAAACACUGGUCUGGAUCCGUUUACCCAAAACGUUGACCGAAGUCAACAAAAAUUAACUUUUUAGGCCAAAAAUCAUUUUUUCAUCAAUUUUCAUAUAAAUGCUUUCCGGAAAUACGCCCGGAUUGCACACGCAAAUCGAGAAAAGAUAAAAAUGAGAUUUUUAAGCCUCGAAAUACAGAAUCAGAUUCUAAAAUAGAAGAUGACCUUUUUGGUCAUCAUAUUAUAGAUCGUUUUAUUCCAACACCAAUAACCUUGAAAAUGGAUAAUCUUGAUCUUUAGACCCUCAUUCAACCCACGAACAAACUUUUAAUGUCAAAAGCUAAAGUGUUGUCCAUAGAUCAAGCGGGGCAAACACUUAUCAAACUUAAAUUUCUGCCCAUACAACUAGCGAGACCAAAAAAUAAAGAGUGGUGCCAAAUAUCUUCUUUGUGCAAAUCACCCAACGGCAGGACCCUCAAGGAUCAAGAUUGGGUCCAAGGUGAUGAAAGUGUAAAAUCCUCUGGACUGUGUCAAGAAGUGAGUGUCGGUGCAAAUUAGUAAUCAAUGCCAAAUGUCUAAUGGAUCGAAUUUUAACAUUUUUUAUUGAAUUUUUUUAAAUAUAUUUUUUGUAUAAAUAUACAUUCUAUAUAUUACAUACAAAAAUUAUUUAAAUUUUAUAUUUUUUCAGCUACCGAAUAUAAAUAAUUUAUGGGUGAAAACCCCCCUUUUUUAUUCCUUGCUCCUUCUACUUCUUUUCUUUCCUUAUCUUUUGCUGACUUGCUGUUAAUUUCAAAAAUCAAAUGGUAAAAAUUUGACUUAAAAAGUAUGAUAAGAUGGAGAAUUCAGACCCACAAACAAUUUGAAAGUCAGUUGUUUCGAGGUUAAUUCCCACAAAAAACUCAAUAAUUUAAACUCAAACAAUUCAUUAAAUAAGUACAGAUGAUUAAUUUCCAUCUCAAAAACUUGAAUAAAUUAUCCUAAAAUCUUGAACUUUAAAUCCAUGUCUAAUUAUCGCCCAGAUAACCCCUCGUGCGUUUGCCUUUCUGUCGCUUUGUUUCUCUCUCAUAAUAAUUCAAACUGAAAGCAAGUUCUGGAAGUGUCAGUUACUCGGAAAAAAAAAAUCAAGAAGAUCCAAAUUUAUAAUUGAUAAUUAAAAAAUAGUCACAAUUUUAAAAAUAAUCGAAAUUUAUCCAUUUUAAUAUAAAAAUAUAAUUGGAACAAAAACACACAUAAAAAUCCGGAAAUAUUCCAUCAUAAUAUGUUGGAGUUCGAGUUUUUUACAUAUGAAAUUCCGGUAUAAUAUACUAUAAUUUCAUAAUGUACUGGAGUUCCAACAUAAUAUGUUGGAAGUUUAUAUGCAGGAACUCCAUAAUCUAGCAUAUUAUGCUGGAACUUUCCGUAUUUCAGCAAAAUAAUGGCUAUUUUUCAAUGACUUUGCAGAUACUGGCUAUUUUUCGGUUACAAUCCGAAAACUGGUUAGGCCGUGCUAUUUUCACCAGUUACUCUAUCCGGUCCACUUUAAUUAAUAUUUUUGGCUAUUUUUGCAUAUAUUAAAAAAAUUAUUUUUUGCAUUACUUAGCAGUAAAAAUGACCACAUUAACAUUAAUUUAUUCAUUAGAAAUAUAACAAAUAUUUUUAGGCUCUUUAUUCCAAAAACAACUUGGGAGAAAAAAAUUAAUUCAUUCUUGAUAUUUGAAAACAUAAAAUAUUGUAUAAGAAAAAUGUCAAAAAAAAAACAAUUAAAGUGAACCGUAGGGAGUAUCACUUACUCUCUUCGGUCCACUUUAAUUGAUUUAUUGGUUGUUUUCACCCAUAUUAAGGAAUUCACCUUUUAGCAUUAAUUAACAAUAAAAAUGAUCAUAUCAACCUUAUUUUGUUCAUUAGAAAUAUAACAAAUACUCCUAGGCUCUUUACUCCAAGAGCAACUUUGAAAAUUAUUUUAUCAAUAAAAUUAUAUAUGUUUCUUCAUAUUUAUAUUGUGGUUACAAUUUAUUCUUGUAUCUCGAAUAAUUUGUUGUAAACAAAUUGGCACGCCCAGUGGGACCAAAUCUAUCAUUCAUUCUCUAAUAAUGAAAAGAAUGUGGUGUCUUCUUUGCUGGUACUUCAAGCCUCGUUUACGCGAUCUUGUAAAUCUAUGCCUCGACAAGCCUUGAAAUAGGGGACAUUUGUAGACAUCAAAAUUUUAUCAGAUCAAAUCCAUAUGAAAUUUGGACAAAAUCCUAAAUUUAAGAUUCUACAAGUAGAGUCCAUCGAGGUUUCUUGGAUGCUACUCUAUCUGAAACCGUAACUUGGAGGUCACUCUACCUGAAGCCCUAAUUUGAAGCGUACUAUACCCAAAACCCUAGAUACAUUAAUAAAAGGGGGCCAUAUAUUCUCUUAAAAAGCAUCUCAAAAAUGGAAAUGAUCUCAGUAAUUUCAUAAAUUCUCAGAAUAUGCACAAAGAGAUCAAAUAUAUGAUCUUAAAAUUACAUAAAAAUUCAUGGAAUAUUCACAAAGAGAUCAAAGACAUCAAAUAUUGUCUUUCUCAAAGCCACCGAAGUAAUCAAUGGAUGUUCUUCCUUUUUCUGAAGAUCAAAUACAUCCUAAGGAAGUUCGCAUCAUCCUACGUUCGAGAAUAUACUGGUUAAGCCCUCGAAUCACGAAGAACGAUCUAGAGAGAAGAAUCAAGGGAACAAAUAAAAAUGUACCCGCAUUAUUUUAUCGAUAAAAUUAUAUAUGUUUCUUUAUAUUUAUAUUAUGGUUACAAUUUAUUUUUGUAUCACAAAUAAUUUAUUGUAAACAGUCCGGUAUCCGCAUUGGGAGCCGACUAAAUUUAUAUUUUUCCAUCCGGUGUUUGGUAUCCGUAUUGGGGCCCAACUAAAUCCAGAUUGACGGAAAGGUAUACAUUAGGAAUAAAGUAUUUUCUAACAAAGACAAUUCUGUACCGGGUGAAAUUUAAAAAUAGUCAGAUUUACAACUGGUCGUUCAAAAAUAGCCCAGUUUCAAAAGUAAUCGAAAUUUACCCACUUUUCAUGUAAAGAUAAAUGUGAAUGAAAACACUAUUCAAAACCUGAAAAAUGCGCCAGUAUAUUAUGCUGGAGUUCCAGGAUAUUAUACUGGAGUUCCAAGAUAAGUAUGCUGGAACUCCAGCAUAAUAUGAUGGAGUUCCAUCAUAAGUACACUAGAACUCCAUCAUAAUAUACUGGAGUUCCAGCAAGUAUACUGGUCCAGCAUAAUAUACUGAAGUUUGGAGUACUGGUGCUCCAGUCUCCAGUAUAUUAUACUGGAGCCAGCAAAGUAUACCGGUCCAGCAUAAUAUGCUGGAGUUCAUACACAGGUGCACCGAACUCCAGUAUAUUUUGCCGGACCGGUCUCUGCUGCAGCAAAAUAAUAGCUAUUUUUCAUUGACUUGAUAAACGCUAGCUAUUUUUAAAUAACCAAUCCGAAAACUGGUUAUACCGUGCUAUUUUUACUCCCAUACCAGGGUUCCAACCUGAAACCUCUCGUUACAACCUUGUUUGGUGGAGUAUCACUUAUCAUUCAUUAAAAUAGACGCACUCACUUUAAUGAACUUUCUGCUACAGUACUAUUUCAGAUCUCAAAUAUUUUUUAGUACUCAACACAGGCUCCUCUACUAUUAAAUUUCAUACAUUACCCUUCACUUUCUUCUAUCUAAGCUAAAUCUCUGUUUCUCACUCUCUCUACAAGUCAAGGUACUCUCUUUUUUCACAUUUUUAUGUCUUUAUUGAUACAUGAUUUGUUUAGAUUUAGCUACUUUAAUUGGUUUUAUUGAGAUUGUAGAAUUCUAAAAUUUAAGUCUUUACCUUUUUCUUUGCAAUUCAGUAGUUGUUUACCUACUGUAGUGAAUCCAUGAGUAUUAUGAGUUGUUAAUUUUGCUGAAUUUUGAAGUGCUGGUACCUAGCGCUGAGUAGAUUGUACUGAGAUACAAUAAUAGUGUUGAAUUGAUGGUUACUUCCCUCAAUUCAGCAAUAUUAGGUCACUGGAAAUUGUUAACAACAACAACAAAUAAUAAGGGGUGGAUUUAGCGGAUUUAGCAUGCAGGCUACGGGUUCAUCUGAACCCAGUAACUUUUGCUAUAUAUGUUGAAAAUUCCUCUAAAUAAGUGCAAAUAAUAGAUUUCAAACUCAGUAAAAUCAAAUAGAAUGCGGUAGAAUUUCAAACGCGAACAUAAAUUUCAGAUCUUGGACCCACCUCUGCUAUUAAUUGCCUAUUGAUCCUUUUUUUAGGAAUUUAAAAGUGUUUGAUAAGCUUUUGUUUUUCAGAGUUUGCUUCAGAUGAUAAUUUGAAGAAGAUAGCCAAAUGUGCUUGCUGCAUUUCUACAAUUGAUGAGUAUAAGUUAACGAGACUGAGAUUUGUUGAGUGAGGUUUUGAUGGAUCAUAUUUCAUCUACAGAGAGGGAUUUUGUGGUUGAUCUCGAGAGUUGUAGAAGUACAAGUGAAGAAGCAAGAAGUACUAAUUCUCCAUUAAAUGCCAAAGCAGGGGAUAUAUUAUUCACUAGUGUCUGUAAUGAUGAUGGUGAAGAACUUUCUAGAGCUGAAAAUGGGUUGAAUAUGAACAGCAAUAUAAAAGACGGCGCAGAGCUAUCUCCGGCAAAUAUUAGAGUGUUUAUAGACAAGACAAAUUUAGUAGAGAAGAAACCGGUGAAAGAAAAACGUAAAUCAAUGAGUGCUAAAAAACCUCCUAAGCCUCCUAGACCUCCCAGAGGAUUUUCAUUGGAUGCUGCUGACCAGAAGCUGAUAAAAGAGAUAGCGGAACUCGCAAUGAUCAAACGUGCACGGAUUGAGAGAAUGAAGGCAUUGAAGAAAAUGAAAGCAGCCAAGGCAUCGUCAACAUCAUCAGUAUUGAAUGGCAGUUUCCUUGCCUUGCUCUUUACUGUCUUCUUCUUUUUUCUGCUAUUGUUUCAAGGUAAAUAUCUGGAUUUUUCAGUUUGGAUUUCCUAUGUCCUAUUUUAGAGUGUAAUUAUAUUAAGAAUGAAGUUUUUAUGAAAUUUUGCUCCAAAAGAAUGCUCCUUGUUAAGAUAAAUUUGACUUUCCUCAUUCUUCAGCAUGUCAAGUCAUGUUAAUUGCAUUUCAUACCUGUAGUCAGUUUCUUCUUUUGUGUUUCAUGCUUUUAAGUGACUAUAUAUUGGUGUUGCUCGUGUAGACAAUGCUAACAAUUGGUUUGUACCUGCCACCAAUAAGCAAAAUCGUAAUGGAGCUAUUGGGUUAUCUUCUUAAUUCUCUAUAUAUGUCAAGAUCAUUCUUGUUUUGGAAGCCGAGCUUGUUAGCGCAAGCUUGUGACCCAAGUGGGGGCAUUAAGUUGUUGGGACACCAUAUAAGUAAAGCCCUUGACAGGAGUGGUUUGGUUGGGCCAGCAAUGACACUAGGUGUUUUGCAUGCUUCCCUAAGCCGAGGAUCUAUUGGAAACAACCUUUCUACCUCCACAAGGUAGGGUUAAGGAUGCGUACACGCUACCCUCCUCAGACCACACUACUUGGGAUUAUACUGGGUUUGUUGUUGUUGUUGUUGCAUUCUUGUUUUGGAACUUCUAUUUUUUUCUCUCUUGAUACUGAUACCAGAUCCGGUUAUGUGAGCAUCUUUAUGGCAGUAGGAGGAUGCAAAAAUAUGGCUUGACACGAUAUAUAUGUGUGCUGAUUCUUUGCAUUUUUGGUCAGCAAUGAUGGCGCUGAAAAACCACAUUUUUUUGCAGUUGACAUACCCUUGUGUUUUCUUUCUUCUCCUUUUAGUUCCUCUCCCUCCCCCCCCCCCCCCCCACCAUUUUAUUCAUACUGUUGAACCAAGAACUUUUUUUCCAUUAUGCAAAAUUUCUGAUGAUUUGGUGUUUACAAUAUUGUAUGCAGGGAUGUCUUAUAGAAGUUCAGCUAUGAGCUUUCACAACUCUGUUCAAUCCGGCAGCGUGAAGAAUAGAUUCAUUAUUGUACAGGACCACUCAAAUUUAUCCACUAGUAAUGCCAUCUUCGCGGACUCUGGAUCUUCGGAGUAUGUACUACCCUAUAUAUCUCUGAUACAUCUGAAAAUGGUACUUCACAUUCUGUAGUUAUAGAUGAUUCUAGUUGGCUAAGUUUUUCCAUUUGCUUCUUAUCUUGUAGUCCUGUGGAGCACGCUUCUGGUUUAACUCAUGGGAAUAGUCCGAAAAGUGUCACAAGCUGAAAUUUAGUGUCAUUACUCGAACUAUUCAAAUAUGAAUUCAGAUUGCCACUACGUUUCUGGCAUGCGCCAGUUUGAAGGAGUUCUACGUAAGUGACUCGGUAUAAGACUUACCUAAUUUGUAUAACCUGUACAGUGAUUGAUACUGGUUGAUUGAGAUAAAUAACCACUGCCAUAGCACACUAAGAAUGCCUCAGAAUUGCCAGUUCAGUAGCUAGCCUCAAAUUGACAAAGAGGUUUCUGGGGAGAAGCAUGGAUUGAAACAAAAUACAGAUUGGUCCUUUAAUAUGUAGCAGUUGGAUUAUAUGGUUUAUAAAAGAUAUAGAAAGAAAUGGUGAUGUCAAGUGGCAAAAACUGGUGAUAUAUGAGUUUCUUUUUCUUGUCAGUUGGAAGACCUAACUCCUUUGUGAUAUAUCUUUGAUGUUUAUUUGUGCCACAAUGGUUGAACUGAAUCCCUAAUUAUGAUAUUUGGACUAGUUAAAUAGUGCAUAAUACUCUGAGAACAAGAAUUUCAGGGCCUUGUAAUUGCUGAUCAAUCUUGUUUGACUUGCUUUACUUAUGUAUUGAUCGCCUGAACCACACUGGCGAUGCGCGUUAGAUCAGACUUAUUUGCAUUUUAAUAUAUGGAAUAGAAUAUGCUUUCUUUCAGAUUAUUGUUUUCUGACUUGAGGGUCUAUCGGAAACAACCUCUCUGCCCUAUCGGGGUAGGGGUAAGGUCUGCCUACACAUUACCCUCUCCAGAUCCCACUUAAUGAGAUUUUACUGGGUAGUAGUUGUUGUUGACUUGAAGUCAUACUAUCCUGGGUGCACAUCUGUAUGCUUCAAAGUCUGUUAAUAGUUAAUAACCUUUAAUAUCAUUGGGAUUCAUGACUUAUCUUCUCUAAGUCCAAAAGUAAUACUUAAUUAUAACUGGAGAAUUUGAAAUAUAAGUAACUCUUCUCUGAAGAAAGGUUCCUGCCCUCACUUUAAAUAGAAGCAAGGCAAGUUGGGAGUAUCAUGUUUGCCACGUUCGACGGAUUUGCCCUUUCUAAUUUUCUAUAAUAAUAAUAAUAAUUUUCUUAUAAGAGAACUACUAAAAAGACAGAAAGAAAAGACAACUUACCAUAAGAGAAAAUCAUCUAAACUGCAUCAUUAACAACAAAGGAAGUGAAAGGAAAAAAACAAAAAAGGAGAGUAUCUGUAUUUGUAAAAGGGAGUGCAUGCGGCUGCUUCAACGGCUCGAACCCGUAACCUAUAUUACAGGGGUACAUCAUAAUAAAUUUCUAAUAAUUGCUCUACCAACAACAGAAAGCUCAAGCACUGCAGUGUUCAAACCAGUAAGAGGAGAAAAACUACUCUUGAAAUUCUCCUCACAAUCCUGAGAAUCACCAAAACAUACAACCAUACCAUCUUCAGCAAAUUUUGGGUUCCCUUUAGUCAAAGCUUCAACAGCUUCAGGUAAACUUACUGUUAAAAUUACCUUAUAUGAAAAAGCACACUUCUUUAAUGGAACUCUCCAAGCUGUUGGAGGAUUGGAUUGACGUAGCUUUGAGAUAAAUUCCGCCGCCUGAUUCGCCUUCACUUUGAUGGCGUCCACGACGAUCAGCGCCAGCGUCGUGAUGUCGCCGCCGGCGCUGCGUUUGUCGGAGAGUAGAGUUUUUAGGCAGAGGUUGUAGUUUGGUGUGUUCUUGCAUGUGGUUUCUACUAGGUUAUUUCUGCUGCUGCUUGUUUCCAGUGUUAAGGUUAAUAGCAAUAUGACUAGAUAUAUUAGAGUCUUCAUUUUGGAAAAGAAGAAAAAAAGACCUAAGUUAUUGUUUUAAGUGGAGAAACUCAGGGCAGCUAGUUUGCUGUUGUGAACUCUGAAGAGAUUGGGAACUACAUAUAUUGGAUGGAGGUGUUUGCUCUUUUAAAAAAAAUUAAAAAUCAUUCAUCCGUUCUACUUCCUCUGUUUCAAAAAGAUCCGUACUAUUUUCUUAUUAGUCUGUUUCGAAAAAAUUGAUCGUUUACGUACCAUAUUUCCUUAGUGAUAUAAAAAUGAAAUUGAGGAGGGAGUAAAAGAUUAAAUUACGUACAACUAUGGGCGGGUAGGCGUUAUUUUUCUGUUUUCGGCAAAACUUGGACACAUUCAGUGGUGUCGCUGGUGUGGAAAUGCAGAGGAGAUAAGACUUAAUUUUAAGUCGGUUACUUAUAACCAUCUCUUUAUGGGUUCCUUUAUUUAUCUCUUUCCCAAACGGGGUUCUGUUGGUGAUGGGAGAUAUUAGGUACUUAUAUUAUGAUAUUAAUAUUUGUGUGCGUGUAAGCUGGUACGGACUCUAUGGAGAAAAGAAAAUUAAUAAUGCUUGCAGUGCUUUGUAUUGCGAAUCAUCCCUACAUUAUUAAUGUAAUUUAUGCAUCACUAGUUUCUACAUUGCUAAUUAUUUACCUGUAAAAUUGAAUUAUAAUUAAAUUUGUACGUAGUUUUAAGGAUACAUAAUAUAACUUGAUACAAAUUAAGAAGAUAAAUUAAUAUUGAAAUUAACGAUAAUAAAAUAAAUGCAAAUCACAAAAUUGAACAACCUUAGCCUCUGAGUUUGAUCAACCUCGAACCAAGUAAUAUCUCAACUAGUGUUAUAACUGAACAACAAGAUGAUAAGAACUAGAAAUGAUUAGUAUAUUGCUCUCUUUUUGCAUGUUACAAUGUUCCUUACAAAUGAUCAGAACCCACUGUAUGUAGUGGGGGUGUUCUACUUUUGGUAUAAUUCUAUACAAGGUAAAAAAUCUCAUGAUUUGCUAGUUAAUCGGCCUCUUCUGCCGAGAUUUCCGCCGUGAUCCUCGACCGAUUGCGGAUAUUUUGGCUUUCCGUUAUUUGGCUAGGUAAGUUCUCCUCGAUCUUGCACGGUCUCUGGGUCACGAGCUCGACGAUCUAAUUUUGCGCCUUGGUUCGAUAUAAUCCGAGUUCGAGUUUUGACCUGCCACGUUUAAGCCUCUGUUGGUCAAACAAUUGACGAACCCAGUUUCGACCGUAUACACUAAUCUUAACAUUAUCAGUACAUAUUGUAACCGAUAUGUUAUUAAAUCUUGUAUAACUUGUCUUUGAACCAAGCAACCCGCAAGAGUUAGUCAUAUUUGCUGAUGUUUUCCUGUUAUAGUCCAGGGGGAUAUAGCCUUUAGAUUAUGAGUUCAACUGAAUCCAUAACUUUUGAUAUGGAGUAUAAAUAUAUAUAUAUAUAUCAUUAAAUUUCAACAAAUAUUAGAUUUGAACCCAUAAUUUUAACAGUAUAUUUAAUUAAAUGUUGAGAAUCUUAAGAGUUGGAUCCAUUAAAUUUAAAUCCUACGUCCACCCUUGUUCCAGUCAAUGAGUUCAUAGGCAAAAAGAAUGCUACUAUACUCAUUUCCUUCUAACAUGACAUUUUCCCAUAUCAAAUUUGAAACCUUUUUUCGUUAAUAUCAUCAUUAUACCUAAGCAGGGACGGAGCCAUAUGGUCAUAAGGGUAGUCAAGAUUAUCCUUCAUCGAAAAAUUACACUAUAUAUAUGGGUAAAAUAUUAUGUUUUAGAGGUAUAUAACACAUAUUGAACCCCUUUGUCAGGAAUUUUUUUCGCUUCUUUUAAAUUUGAACACCCUUGAGAAAAUUUCUAGUUUCGCCAGUACAUACGAGAACGUAAACAUAUACAUGAUUCCUCUUAAAAGUUAAAAAAAUAAUAAGCACAAACGUCCAAUAAUCACAUUUUUAUUCAUGUAUAAUUUCUUGUUUCUCCUAGUACAAAGCUUUCGCUCACUUUAUUAUGCAUUUUUCUGCAUGUAGGAAACAAACAUUUAUUUAAUUUCCUAAUGUUUAAUUCCCUCCAACUUCAAGAUAGGAUUUUGCUAUUCGGUCAUUUGCUCCUUUUGGGUAAAAUCCACCUGGUUUAUUCUCAUUUCCACUUCUGUAGAUUAUUUGCAAUAUUUCUUCCGGCGUUCUAUUGUAGGAAAGUGAGUAUUUAUCUGCUGCCAAUAUAUUUCCUUGUAUCUUCCCGUCAUUACCUACUGUUGGUUUUACUUUGAGUCAUUCAUCUUUCAAUCCAUGGCGUCCUAGCUUGUUUCUCAGCUCUGAUAUCCGAUUUGUGAACUCUGCUACUGUUAUUCCGUAGGGUUCUACGUUCUCUCUUCCUCGCUCAUAAAGCAAUGCUAUUAGAACUGCGUCUUGACCUGAUUCUACUCCCAGUAGCCCUGCUAGUAGUUGCAGAUUUUGAAUUUUGUAUGUUUUCAAUUUGAAAUGUAAUGAAUAUACUACAUGCAUGCAAUUUGUUUUAUGAGAUGAGAUUUGACUCGACAUGAAGUUUAAUAUAUUUUUUAUUAUAAUUAUAUUGUCAUGUUAAUUUGGUGCAUUUCUACUAUUCUAUCAUAUACUUAUUACUUUUCAGUGGUAUAAGUACCGGAUGACUUUGUCUACAAGACUUAUGCAGACGGAAAGUUUAAGAUAUGAAAUUAACUAGUGGGUAUAUUUAUGAUAAUGAAACGAUUAUUAUAAUAAGAAUUACCAUGACAAUGUAAAGAAUUUCUAUAUAUAAAAUUAAGUCGUCUAAAUAAUAAUACAACAAUUAUCUAUAAAAAAAAUGAUCAGUAACCAAGAAAAUAAGGUAGAUUAUUUGUUACAACAGUUAUAACUAACUGAUAGAAUAAGGAUUCUUUACAUGACAUUGUGAGUGUAUAUACAUUAAGUUAUUAAACUAAUGAUUGAAAAAUUAGAUUUAAAUAUAAAAAGACAAUGACACUGCAAGUAGCUAAAGUUUUAAUUCUUGAAAAUUGUAUAGUUUUGUGGUGUGUUUCGUUUCCUAUAAAAUGUUUUCCUGGAAAAUGAGUAGUUUUAUCACUUAUUUUCCCUUGUUUGGUUGGUGAGUGAAAAACUUUUUCCGAAAAAUAUUUUCUAGUGUUUGAUUAGAGAGUAAAAAAUAUUUUUGCAUGCUACUCUCCUCAACCCUAUUCCUUCCAAGUCCCCAUGUUUCCUUGCCCACCCCAACCCCCUCUCAAUACUCAACAUUUUUAGGAUUCUAUUUUCUUCAAGAAUUUAAUUAUUCUUCUAAAAAUUUAUAUAAACCCAAAGGAACUAAUGUACUGCUUUAUUUUUUUACGUAAAAAUAACUUUAAAAUUUGUGCGCCAUAACUAAAAAAGAGAAUAUUCUUUGUUUGGAUGAAAAAAAAUUGUUCUUUAUACAACAUGAAACUCAUUUUAUUGAAAUAAUGAAAAAUACAUUUUGUACAUCAUAAAAAGAAAAUGCUUUUUUUCCUUCGGCAUAUAUUUUUAAUGAACUGCCACAACUUAAACAUGAAACACAUAAAGAAGGUGGUUCUCGUUAAUAAUAUAUAGAAUUUUAUAAAUAAUAAAAUAAUUAAUUCAGCUGCAAUAGAACUACUAACCUUUGAGAAUAAGGAUAGUGAUUUUUAUCUCAUAAUAAUUUUUUAACUCUGCAAAUGCACUUAAUUAACAUAUAAUUAGUAGAUACUUUUACUUCAAAAAUGUAUAAAUGAACAAAAUGGUAACAUCCAUGGUAACUUGAGAAAGAGUUUUGGAAAAUGUUUUCCCUUCUCUCAAUAAGGAAAACAUUUUCUUUCAAUUAGAGGAAAAUGAGUUGAUGAGGAAAAUAUUUUUCAGAACAUUUAAGCCAACCAAACAUGAAAAAAUUGGAAAAUAUUUUCCAUGCCAUGCAUGUAAAUUGGAACAAAGAUAAUAAUAUUAUGUUAAAAGAUGUACUAGUUCAGAGAGUAAUUUGAUUUAAUUACCCUUUUGGCAGUAGGGCUGAGGAGUUUAGGAUUGGCUCCAACAUAUCCAAUAAGUCCAAUAUAAAGGAUAACAUACGAAGCAAGGAGAUAAUUAAUGUCAUUAGCGUAAGGAUUAAAAGGUGGUUCUAAUUGAUGUCCAAAUGCAUCGUUCAUAACUGUAGCAAAUGCUUCUCUGCUUAGAUUUAGCAAUGGCCUUGAAAAUCCUGCUACUGUAUACUUGAUUGCCCUACAAUAUCAAUUUUAUCGAACUUUUAAAUUUGGAUAUAUAGACGUUAUAUAUUAAAUUAAUAGGGUGCUUGGAUUGGUUUUUAAGCCAGUCAAAUCAAUUUUUAAGUUUUUAUUAGUUUUUAAGUGUUUGACAAAGUCAAAAAGGACUUAAAAUGAGUGAAAAACUGCUUAAAACAAGCCAAAAGAAAUAAGCUGGACAACCCAACUUAUUACGUUUUGGUUUAAAAGCUAUUUCUGCUGAAAAGCUUUUUUUUAAGCCAAACCAAACGGUUUCUAAAUCAACUACUGAAGAAGAGGUGUAGGUCUCUCGACACCUAUGUUGCUUGGACCUUUUAAAAAUAUUUUCGGGUGUGUGUUGAGUCCUCCAAAAGUGGUGUGUUUUUUUACAAGUCAACAUGCACACGACAAUAUUUUUAAAGAGUCGAACACUAUUUGGUUGAAGAACAAAGAAAGUUUGUUUGAAGAAGCUCUUAGGAACAUUCUAUUACUACAAACAAUCAUUUGAGUUCAACAAAUUAAUAGUUGCACAUAAAUUAUCCUUAUAAUAAGGGUUGAUUUGUACAAAAAUCGAAGUAUUCGAAUCUUUCACCUGCAGCAAAAAAUAUUACAACCCAUAUUUACGUACGUUAGUUCAUGCCGUAAGUUAGUAAAUGUAAAUCCAAGAAGAGAUUAUCUUUGAGAUGAUAAGAAGUUAAUCCUAUUGGUCUUAAAUGAUACAAAGGUGUAUAAGGAUGGUUAAUAAGUAUUAGAAGUUAAACGAAUCAAGGAUGUUGCAACCCGUAUUUUCGGGUAAACCUAGAGGUGCUUAAUACAUUUAAGAGGAUGUGUUUUAAGGUAUUUGGAUCAUAUAAUAUCCGUAUCGUAAGUCUUGAAGUCAAACGAGUUAUGAAACAAAAGUCGACAAAAGUUGUCGCAACUUAGGUUCAUAGUUUUACUUAAACUUUAGGUCAAAUGUUACUAAGCUUUUCUACCAAUUUACUUGAAAUUAUAGGGUGAUCUAUCCACAAAAUUGAAUAUCUAUGAGUCUAGUUUCCAACGCAUUUAACCGUUCGUCGAUACAAUAUCGGAGUAGAGAGAUAUUCAUAUUUUCGCGAGACUACACCAAACAACUCUCUAUGGGCCCCACAUAGGCGGUUUAAGACAUAUGGAUAUAUAUAAUAUGACUACACCCCAUUUUAAGUCAUUCAUUUUCACUAUAUUCAGACUUUACAACCCUAGAAAUACCCUCUCAAGGUUCUCUCAAGAUUCAAGACCCAAACAAAGGACAAACAACACAAAUCAAGUGUCGGGAAUCCCGUGGCGCUAGUAAGUUUCUUGUUCUUCUUAUUGUUGCUCAUUUUUGUAUUGUUCCAGCUUGUGUGGGAGGUUGUUUCAAGUGUCGAAAAUCCUGUGGCGCUAGGUGAUUUCAAGUCUUAUAAAGUGAUUCUAGUGCCGAAAAACCCUAAUUGAUUGCUAGUUUCGCUUCCUUGUUCUUGUGGCAGCAUUGGAGGGAUAUUUCGUGGACAAUUAAGGUAAAAUUGGAGUUGUUCUUUCUGUUUAAGGGUAAGUAACCUCUUACUCUACAUGUAUUUAAGAUUAUCCAAGUUGUGGCUAAGUAAUUGAAGCUAGAACUGGUGAAAUAUAUAUCGAAAGGCUUGGUAGUAAUGUUGUUGGUUGGUGGACUAUUUUGGGAGGCUCAAUAUGAUUAUUAUUGAUGUUGUUGGGAUGUUUGGUGAUUUUUUUGACUUGUGGGAAGUCAUAUAAAUAGGGGAGGUGUUGUUCGUUUUAUCGUAAAAUAGGUUACGGUCGAUAUAUACUAGAUACGAUGCUUAAACGAUAACGAUAGUAUCAUUUCUCUUAUUGUAGACUAAGGAGUCGUGACAUUUGCGUAGCUUGAGGUUGGACAGUAUAUACAAGGCAUGUGAAGUUAUCUCUUCCUUCUUUUGCACGACUCCGAUUGUACAUAAUGUAAUGAAUGAGUUUCCAAAGAUACUCUACUCUUAUGAACGAAGCUAAUAGUACUUACAUUGUUUCCCUUCUUAUGAAGCGAUUGAUGUUGAUGUUGCUUCUCUUAUUAUUAUGUUAUCAAUAUUGUUGGUAUUUUCUUAUUCUUAUGAGAUUCAUGAUGAAGAAUUAGUCCUAAUAACGUGUAUAGAGGAUACCGACCUCACGUCAUUCCGAAAGGUUCAGAAUAUUAUUCUAAUGAGUCCAGCAUACAUUAUAUAUAUGUAUCUAUUUUACUCUACCGAGCCGCACUAUAGAUGGCCGGGUACGACACCUACUGUGCAACCACUAAUCAGUUGGGUUUUACUGAGCUCCACGUGGCCAGGUACGAUUCUACCGAGCCUUAUGAUGACCGGGUAUGUUUUUACCGAGCCUAUUACGGUCGAGUACGAUAUAAUGAUGAUGAUGCCCACAGAGGCGUAUGUUUUAAAAGUUUAUGUAUAUAUACAUAUGUAUCAUGCAUUUUAUGUCAGUAGCCCUUAGAGAUACCCAGAUGUUACAUGUUGUAUAUUCUCUAUCCCUGCUUACACUAUUGUUCGUACUUAUGGUUCAUGACUUACAUACUCAGUACUUUAUUUGUACUGAUGUCCUUUUUAUUUGUGGACGUUGCAUGUCGUGCUGCAGGUCCUGAUAGACGGGUAGAAGUAACUCCCCCACCGCAGUAGGCUGCCUAGUUCAACGGUUAUUGGCGAGAUCCCUUCUCCGGACUUGCCGUGGUCUUGGUAUGCAUAUUUGUUAUAGACAUCAUGGGUAUGUCGGGGCCCUGUUCCGGUGAUGUUGCAGUACUUAUGUUUCUUUAGAGGCUCAUAGACAUGCGGCGACAUAUGUAUAGUUUGGUAUGCCUUGUCGGUUGAUUUUUGUUGUAUAGUCUUUCAUGGCAGCGUAGUAGCUCGUACCUUAUAUAUAGUUUCUUGGCUUUCUGAUCAUCCCAUGUUAUGUAUGAUCAUGCCAUUAUCUUUCAUUGUUGAUUGUUCAUGAUCCACGUCUGCCAUUUAUAUUGAUCUCAUCGGCCCUUAAAGAUAAUAAGGAAGGUUAGAUAAAAUGUACGUUGGUGCUCGAUAAAUAUGGCCCGGGUGCAAGUCAUGACCUUCCAGUUUGGGUUGUGACAAAAAAAAUAGCAAAUUUAGAGGGGGAAGGAAUACUAAGUAAUGUAAUACAUUUUAAAAUAUAGAAGAAAGAAAAGGAACUCAAACUGAUCUUAUAAAGAAGGAGCGCACCCUUCACACUACCCUUUCAUAAAAUGAACGAAUUUUACUACUAUAUAGAAAGCGGAAAGGCGGGAACAAACACAUCUAAAAAAUUGCUAUUGUAUGUGUCAUGUGCAGAGACACAAUAACUUGAAUAUCAAACAACUCAAAGCCAUGAAACUCCCAUUGAAACAUCCCUGGGUUUAAAAUAUAGACAAGAGGGGUUGCUCUAAUGGUAAGCAACCUCCGCUUUCAACCAAGAGGUUGUGAGUUCGAGUCUCCCCAAGAGUAAGGUGGGAAGUUCUUGGAGGGAAGGAUGUCGGGGAUCUAUUUGGAAACAGCCUCUCUACCCCAGGGUAGGGGUAAGGUCUGCGUACACACAUCCUCCCCAGACCCCACUAAGUGAAAUUAUACUGGAUUGUUGUUGUUGUUGUUGUUGUUGUUGUUGGUCUUUAACUUUUAAACCCGUUUGCCCCAUGGGAAUAACUUCAAAGUUAAAAGUUAAAAGUGUUGCUAAUGGUACAAGCAAAAGACAACACUUAUUAAAUUUGAAUUCUACCAAUGGAGCAAGUGGGGCAAAAAUUCAAGACCGUCCACUUUGAAGGCUAUUCGUGCACUUCACGCAAAAAACAAGGCCCCAAGUUUUUGCUCUUCUGGGCCUCCAUUUUGUUUUGGAGCGAGAAAACAAUUCCAAAACAAAGCAAGUGAGCCCAGUUACUCUAUCACUCCAGUUAGGCGGAGGCCCAGACCGCAACCGGGCUAAGCCCAACUGGACCCAACUUAAUUGGGCGGGCUCUCAGUGAGUUAGGCCCAAUUGUCGGGUAUAACUUGUCUUUUGUGCUAUGUCUUUAUGGGAACUAGGGGUGUACAUAGGUCGGGUUGGUUCGGAUUUUGCAAUUGCCAAACCAAACCAAUUGUAUCGGGUUUUUAAAUCUAUAAAUCAAACCAAACCAACAAAGGUCGGGUUUUUCAAUAUCGGGUUUUCUCGAUUUUCUCGGGUUUCUCGGGUUUUUCGUUCCGAUAAACUUGUGCUCCAAAUAUUUCUAUAGUCCUAAAUACAACAGUAGGGAGGAAUACACCAGAUUUGCCAAAAAUCUGUUAAGAGAAACAAAAUAAGACAAAAUCGCAUAACAAUGUACGAAAUACAUCUCUCUUAAUUUUACACAGUUCAUAUUAUUUAACCAAAUGAUUCAAAAUAUAAGUAAACAAGUUUCAAUAUCUUUUUAAGUAACAACCAAUUAUUCAUGUUAAGCAUCUAAGGGAAACAAAAUAAACAAAUGAAUUCAACAGUAGGGAGGAAUACAACAGAUUUACAAAAAAAAAACUUGCUAAUCGGAAAAAGAAAAAUCUUAGUUAAUUGGGGAAAAGCAAGGUAUAUGUAUGCAGCUAAAAGAAAACCUGUAAAAUGAGAGCAAAAGAGCUUUACCAAUGAUAGGGAUUGAGCAAAGGAAGAGCGUAGGUUUUUUGCCUUUGGAAAAGAGGAAAGAUGAUUUCAAUUGUUUACCUUUACGUAUAUCAGAACAACUUUAGGACAAUGUAUUGCUGCUUUAGGAUUAGGUUUUGGUUUGGGCUCAAAUAUUCUUUUAUGGGCCAAACAAAAACAAACAUUUACAUGGGCUAUAAUACCAACUUAAAAUAUUAUGCUAUAUACAUAAAUUAUAAUAAAAAUUAAGAAAUAUUUAUAACUUACAUUCUAUAUAUUUUUAUCUAUCUAAUAUAUAAAAUAUGUAUACAUAUAAUAUCGGGUUGGUUUGGUUUCGGUUAAUACCAAACCAACCCUAUUGUGGUCGGGUUUUAUUUUUCAAUACCAAACCAAGUCAAACCAAACCAGUAAUCGGGUUUUUUUUUUUCCGGGUUGACUCAAAUUUUUGGGUUGGUGCGGAUUAUCGGUUUGGUUUAUACACCCCUAACGGAGACAACAAAGAUUGAAGAGGCAAAAGAAGAAAAUUAAUAUGACCAAAAUUGAUCAAAAGUUUAAAACCUAAUAGAUUUGAUUUUAAAGUUUCUUGGACAAAACUCACAGUACAUUUAAAAUUUAAUAUUUGUUAAAAUUUUAUAAAUUUUUGCACGCGCACAAAUAUAUAUAUUUCCGAGUUCAGUGACUCAAAAAUUACAUCUAAAUAUGAUCGGUUAAUAUCAUGGUCUCCAAACAGGAAUAUAUAUAGUGAACCUUGGUACCAACUAUGCUAUUUCUUUUAUUUUCUUUCUCUUUCCUAGAAGAUUUAGUGUAUUCAACAAGGUACUCGAAGAGAAUGAAAAAAGAAAAAAAUAUCCAAUAAAAUCUAAAGUUGUAAUUUCUCACACAUAUGGAAUCAUCUUAAGACGUUAUAUGGGACUUCUGCAUUAAAUUUUCUAUCUUAAAACAUACUUCAAAAACUAACACCGAAAAAGAAGGGAGAAACUUGAUUUGAUUUCAAUAGUAAUUUACAUAUUUAUUGCUUCAUGAAAAUCCAUGUUGUCUUUUCAAACUUUUUUUUGAUUUCACACCCGGUUUUCGGUAUCUGUAUUGGAACCCGAAUAUAUCUGGAUUCGCACUGCGUAGGGCUCCAUUCGGGGGGAAGCGCUUCCUGCCAAAGAUUUAGAUUUUUCCAUACCCAAAGCUCGAACCCGAGACCUCUAGUUAAGGGAGGAGCAAUUCCAUCCGCUGCACCAAGUCUUUUGUGGUGUCUUUUCAAACUUUUAUCUAUACGACAAAGAACCUUAGUUUAGCAUAAAGCAUAUGUCUUUUGAUCUUCCAUCAACUUUCCUAACUCUUGCUUCUAUUUUUUAAGGUUUUGGAUUAUGUGCAAGAUUGUGAAUUUGAAUCAAUAUACAAAAUGAUAUUGCUUCUGGUGUUGCCUUCUAAAAUCAAUAUUUCUUUCCAAAGCACAAAAUAUGCACAUAUACAACAUAUAUUAUAAAGUUAAAUUUCAGUUGAGGGAGAAAUAGAAGCAUAAGUUUAAAAAACUAAACCUUCAAGAUUGUUCUUAAUUAACAUAAUUGUAAGCAUCAUGAUUGGACAAUGUUACAGUAUUGGAGCACAUUUGCUGUCGUCAUAUAGUUUUUGAAGGAUCUGGGAGCCUAACAUUAAGUAGAACUCGAGGGAUAAAACUAGAGCGCUUUCAGAAAAGAGGAAAAUAUUAUCAAAUUUUAUAGUAAAUAGAAGGGAAAAUGCAUAAGUAUCCCUGACCUAUACCCAGAUUUCCAACUACACACUUUUUCUUUGCGGGAAUUCUAUUAUCCCCCUAAACUUAUUUUAAAUGGAAUUAUUUGCACCUUUGACGCUGAACUGGCAGGGUGUGUGUAUUUCACUCUCUCUGGGAGAGUGAGAAGCAAGUAAAAACGAUUUUCAGAUUAUUUUUUAUUCUUUUUACCAUUUUUCUUACUUUUUUUUUCCUUUCCUUUGUAUUUUUUCUUUUACUUCUUUUUUCUUUUCUUCUCUAAUCCCAGCGGAUAUUCAUUUACCGGCGACUUUGUUUGACCGUUUUCUUCCAUUUUUUUUCACACACAAAUUAAACUCUACAAAAAGAUCUAUUCAUAAGUAAAGCAANNNNNNNNNNNNNNNNNNNNNNNNNNNNNNNNNNNNNNNNNNNNNNNNNNNNNNNNNNNNNNNNNNNNNNNNNNNNNNNNNNNNNNNNNNNNNNNNNNNNNNNNNNNNNNNNNNNNNNNNNNNNNNNNNNNNNNNNNNNNNNNNNNNNNNNNNNNNCCUCCCACACCAAUAAAAUUACACAUUUCAAGAAAAAUGUAUAUAUAUAAAACAAAACACACUUAGAUCGGGAUAAAAAUCUGUCGCCGGAAAAAAAGUUUCGCCGAAAAAAAUGGUGUUUGUAAAAUUCCGACGACCACCAUUUUAUGCUGCUGGUGACCAAAACAAAAAGAAAGAGAAUGAGAUAACAAAAAAAAAAUGAGAAUAAUAAGAAAUAAGAAAAAAGGAUAAGAAAAAGAAGAAAGAAGAAAAAAAGUACUAAAAAUACAUGUUGGGUCGCGUGUAGCUCACCACUUGCCAAAAGUUUGGUUAUCUAGUUUCAGGGUGGUAUUUAUUCCAUUUAAAAAACGUUUAGGGGGGUAAUAGGAUUCCCGCAAAGAAAAAGUGUGUAGUUGAGAAUUCGAGUAUAGGUUAGGGGGGUACUUAUGCAUUUUCCCUAAAUAGAACUCAACCACUGGCCAAACAAUUAAGCAAUUAUGUACAAAAUUAGAGAAACAAUCUUAGAUGAUAACUCGAAUUAACGGUAGUAUAAUUAAUAAAUUUCAAUAUUCAUGACAACCACAACUCUAGAACGUGAAGUUUAGCAUAGCAAAAGAACAAUUCAUCUAAAGCAACAUAUAGAUUAAUAAGUUUGAUGGAAGAAAGAUGGAAUCUGAUGAAUUCCGGCCUCCACGGUGGCUCCGUGCUCUUCCUAGGUCUAAAAUCUAUAAAAAUUAUGUUUAAGGACUAUUUUAUAGGUGUAGGUAAAGAGCCUAGAUAAAAUAACCAAGUCCAAAAUAAAAAAAGGAGAUGUAUGAGAUAUGUAUGAGGAAGGAGAAGAAGAUGCUGUUUUGAAAGAAUGCCGUUCACAUGCAGCAAAACAAGGUGAUUUAUCACCUAUGCAUAGCGGCAAAAUAAUGAAAGCACAUACAAGGAAAAAUAGUUGGGACGACAAGGUUAGUGAUUUUUUAAAUGUUAGGCGACCUCCAAUGAGAGUUGCCAAACAAAAGAAGGCUGCCACAACUACGUCAACGAGGUCCAACCGUUCAAAAAAGAAGUGAUGAUUUUUGAUUACGUUUUGAACACGGUUGAGGAAAACAACAAAGAAUUACAAAUUGAAGAUUUUACAAGUUUGGAAAAGAAGGGACAAAAAUCAAAUUGGUACUACAUUCUAUUUUACCACUUUCUUAGUAUUCUCAUUUGUAAUAUCAUCAGAGAGUAUGUUAUAAACUCUGUGAUGAUCAUUGAAUAUUUGGUCCAUUCAAGUUCUUAUUUUUUACAUGCUUGCUAGUAGGUGAGGCCUUUUCUUUGCCUCAAUAGGAUUAGUAAGGUAAGGUUUAGCCCGAGUUGUGUUGCCUUAGUCUUAUGCUUUUGGAAAUUAUCCACACGGCUAUGAGAUUAUAUGCCCUCGUGAGACGUUGCCGACAGCUACACCAUGAAUCCUUUACAUGAG